rnacentral:rRNA from 1 species
GGGAGCCGAAGGGAAACCGAGUCUUAACCGGGCGUUAAGUUGCAGGGUAUAGACCCGAAACCCGGUGAUCUAGCCAUGGGCAGGUUGAAGGUUGGGUAACACUAACUGGAGGACCGAACCGACUAAUGUUGAAAAAUUAGCGGAUGACUUGUGGCUGGGGGUGAAAGGCCAAUCAAACCGGGAGAUAGCUGGUUCUCCCCGAAAGCUAUUUAGGUAGCGCCUCGUGAAUUCAUCUCCGGGGGUAGAGCACUGUUUCGGCAAGGGGGUCAUCCCGACUUACCAACCCGAUGCAAACUGCGAAUACCGGAGAAUGUUAUCACGGGAGACACACGGCGGGUGCUAACGUCCGUCGUGAAGAGGGAAACAACCCAGACCGCCAGCUAAGGUCCCAAAGUCAUGGUUAAGUGGGAAACGAUGUGGGAAGGCCCAGACAGCCAGGAUGUUGGCUUAGAAGCAGCCAUCAUUUAAAGAAAGCGUAAUAGCUCACUGGUCGAGUCGGCCUGCGCGGAAGAUGUAACGGGGCUAAACCAUGCACCGAAGCUGCGGCAGCGACACUGUGUGUUGUUGGGUAGGGGAGCGUUCUGUAAGCCUGUGAAGGUGUGCUGUGAGGCAUGCUGGAGGUAUCAGAAGUGCGAAUGCUGACAUAAGUAACGAUAAAGCGGGUGAAAAGCCCGCUCGCCGGAAGACCAAGGGUUCCUGUCCAACGUUAAUCGGGGCAGGGUGAGUCGACCCCUAAGGCGAGGCCGAAAGGCGUAGUCGAUGGGAAACAGGUUAAUAUUCCUGUACUUGGUGUUACUGCGAAGGGGGGACGGAGAAGGCUAUGUUGGCCGGGCGACGGUUGUCCCGGUUUAAGCGUGUAGGCUGGUUUUCCAGGCAAAUCCGGAAAAUCAAGGCUGAGGCGUGAUGACGAGGCACUACGGUGCUGAAGCAACAAAUGCCCUGCUUCCAGGAAAAGCCUCUAAGCAUCAGGUAACAUCAAAUCGUACCCCAAACCGACACAGGUGGUCAGGUAGAGAAUACCAAGGCGCUUGAGAGAACUCGGGUGAAGGAACUAGGCAAAAUGGUGCCGUAACUUCGGGAGAAGGCACGCUGAUAUGUAGGUGAAGUCCCUCGCGGAUGGAGCUGAAAUCAGUCGAAGAUACCAGCUGGCUGCAACUGUUUAUUAAAAACACAGCACUGUGCAAACACGAAAGUGGACGUAUACGGUGUGACGCCUGCCCGGUGCCGGAAGGUUAAUUGAUGGGGUCAGCGCAAGCGAAGCUCUUGAUCGAAGCCCCGGUAAACGGCGGCCGUAACUAUAACGGUCCUAAGGUAGCGAAAUUCCUUGUCGGGUAAGUUCCGACCUGCACGAAUGGCGUAAUGAUGGCCAGGCUGUCUCCACCCGAGACUCAGUGAAAUUGAACUCGCUGUGAAGAUGCAGUGUACCCGCGGCAAGACGGAAAGACCCCGUGAACCUUUACUAUAGCUUGACACUGAACAUUGAGCCUUGAUGUGUAGGAUAGGUGGGAGGCUUUGAAGUGUGGACGCCAGUCUGCAUGGAGCCGACCUUGAAAUACCACCCUUUAAUGUUUGAUGUUCUAACGUGGACCCGUGAUCCGGGUUGCGGACAGUGUCUGGUGGGUAGUUUGACUGGGGCGGUCUCCUCCUAAAGAGUAACGGAGGAGCACGAAGGUUGGCUAAUCCUGGUCGGACAUCAGGAGGUUAGUGCAAUGGCAUAAGCCAGCUUGACUGCGAGCGUGACGGCGCGAGCAGGUGCGAAAGCAGGUCAUAGUGAUCCGGUGGUUCUGAAUGGAAGGGCCAUCGCUCAACGGAUAAAAGGUACUCCGGGGAUAACAGGCUGAUACCGCCCAAGAGUUCAUAUCGACGGCGGUGUUUGGCACCUCGAUGUCGGCUCAUCACAUCCUGGGGCUGAAGUAGGUCCCAAGGGUAUGGCUGUUCGCCAUUUAAAGUGGUACGCGAGCUGGGUUUAGAACGUCGUGAGACAGUUCGGUCCCUAUCUGCCGUGGGCGCUGGAGAACUGAGGGGGGCUGCUCCUAGUACGAGAGGACCGGAGUGGACGCAUCACUGGUGUUCGGGUUGUCAUGCCAAUGGCACUGCCCGGUAGCUAAAUGCGGAAGAGAUAAGUGCUGAAAGCAUCUAAGCACGAAACUUGCCCCGAGAUGAGUUCUCCCUGACCCUUUAAGGGUCCUGAAGGAACGUUGAAGACGACGACGUUGAUAGGCCGGGUGUGUAAGCGCAGCGAUGCGUUGAGCUAACCGGUACUAAUGAACCGUGAGGCUUAACCUUACAACGCCGAAGGUGUUU